rnacentral:rRNA from 1 species
GCCUAACACAUGCAAGUCGAACGGUAGCACAGAGAGCUUGCUCUCGGGUGACGAGUGGCGGACGGGUGAGUAAUGUCUGGGAAACUGCCUGAUGGAGGGGGAUAACUACUGGAAACGGUAGCAAUACCGCAUAACGUCGCAAGACCAAAGAGGGGGACCUUCGGGCCUCUUGCCAUCAGAUGUGCCCAGAGGGAUUAGCUAGUAGGUGGGGUAACGGCUCACCUAGGCGACGAUCCCUAGCUGGUCUGAGAGGAUGACCAGCCACACUGGAACUGAGACACGGUCCAGACUCCUACGGGAGGCAGCAGUGGGGAAUAUUGCACAAUGGGCGCAAGCCUGAUGCAGCCAUGCCGCGUGUAUGAAGAAGGCCUUCGGGUUGUAAAGUACUUUCAGCGGGGAGGAAGGUGUUGUGGUUAAUAACCGCAGCAAUUGACGUUACCCGCAGAAGAAGCACCGGCUAACUCCGUGCCAGCAGCCGCGGUAAUACGGAGGGUGCAAGCGUUAAUCGGAAUUACUGGGCGUAAAGCGCACGCAGGCGUCUGUCAAGUCGGAUGUGAAAUCCCCGGGCUCAACCUGGGAACUGCAUUCAAAACUGGCAGGCUAGAGUCU